UGCAGGAGUACUUUCGUAUACCGCUGAGCAGCCUGAGGUCGGUGCUCAGUGCGGCUCACAUCACCACCGUCCGACUGAUCAUCCAGUACUACAGCAGAUACAAGGAAACGCUGCAGUUGCCUGACCAGUACCUGUCCACCAUGGUGUCAGUGCUGCUCCAGACCCACGUGACAAAAGAUUUCAGUCUCUUCCCCGAGCUGGCUCCCCUGUUGGCCGCGGCCAGCACAGCUGACAUCCAAUCGUUGCCCUCGCUGCAGAAAGACAUCAUUGUGAGGGAGACCAUCAACAGAAACCUGGGGCACAUGACUGUGGACCAGCGGGACGCGUUCGGCCAGUGGUACAGCAAAGACAUGCCGCCGGCCAAAAUCACCGAAGGUCAUCACUCACUCAUUAGGGACACUGGAGACCUGAUCGCCUACCUGCCCUUCCGCAACUUCCAACACCUCUCGUGGCUCAGGUAACGGCUCUGACACCUCCCUGGGACAUCCGAGAAAGCAGGACUCUGUGAGUCCGAUUAGCGCCGGGUCACCGCAGGGCUGCUCGUCGUCACGCACUGGUCAAAAGAAAGCACACGCAGCCUCCUCUUUCUCCGUCACCCCCAAUGUGUGUCAUAUGCCUCGCCAAUGUUCAAUGAGUAAAGAUACUGUAGGCACACGUGAAUUACCAGUGAGCAGGAAAUAGGGGGUCACUGACCUUUCAGCAC
rnacentral:lncRNA from 1 species